rnacentral:rRNA from 1 species
UACAGAGGCCUCGAGCGUUAGGCGGAAUCACUGGGCUUAAAGCGUGUGUAGGCGGAUGCCUAAGUGCUUUGUGAAAUCCCACGGCUCAACCGUGGAAUUGCUUGGCAUACUGGGGUGUCUUGAGCCAUCUAGGGGCGAGCGGAACAAGUGGUGGAGCGGUGAAAUGCGUAGAUAAUCACUUGGAACGCCAACGGUGAAAACAGCUCGCUGGGGAUGAUGCUGACGCUGGAGACACGAAAGCCAGGGGAG